rnacentral:rRNA from 1 species
CCUACGGGUGGCAGCAGUGAGGAAUAUUGGUCAAUGGGCGCGAGCCUGAACCAGCCAAGUAGCGUGAAGGAUGACUGCCCUACGGGUUGUAAACUUCUUUUAUAAAGGAAUAAAGUGAGGCACGUGUGCCUUUUUGUAUGUACUUUAUGAAUAAGGAUCGGCUAACUCCGUGCCAGCAGCCGCGGUAAUACGGAAGAUCCGAGCGUUCUCCGGAUUUAUUGGGUUUAAAGGGAGCGUAGAUGGGUUGUUAAGUCAGUUGUGAAAGUUUGCGGAUCAACCGUAAAAUUGCAAUGGAUACUGGCAGCCUUGAGUGCAGUUGAGGUAGGCGGAAUUCGUGGUGUAGCGGUGAAAUGCUUAGAUAUCACGAAGAACUCCGAUUGCGAAGGCAGCUUACUAAACUGCAACUGACAUUGAUGCUCGAAAGUGUGGGUAUCAAACAGGAUUAGAUACCCCUGUAGUC